AGAGCGAGGCCCGUCGGCUGAGGUAAAAAAACCCCGGCAAUGCUGAGGUAAAACCCUGCUAAUGCUGAGGUAGUGAGUGCCUGAACCCUCUGAACAUUACUAAUGCUACAAAGGAUACCUAGUUUUUGUCCCACUCAGCUUACCCUCCAGUUUUAAACCUCUCAAGAUGCUCAUUUCUUCUCCCUGUGUUGUCUCAAAAUCAUUUACAUCUUUUUUGAACUAACUGCAGCACCGAAGACUGGACACAGUACUACAAUUAAGGCCUCAACAACGCCAGCAUCUGCUGUCAUACCUGUCACAGACUACAUUCCUAUUUACACAUGCCAAUACAAAUACUUUUGAGUCAGUAUGAUCUAUUCACAAUUUUGCUGACGUGUUUUACCCCCGCAUCCAUUUCUCCUGACCUACCAAGCCAGUUAUUUCUCCCUCAAGUAGACAGUAAUGCUACUUGAGAAAUUAUUUACUACAACAGCCCUAAUGCUAUCCCUUUAUUUUUAUUGCUGGACAGAUGGAGAAUCAAGCAGUCAAGACAUCUUUUAAAAUAAAAUUCCACAUGAUUUUAAGUCAGAAAACUGUAGAAUUUGUCAUCCUUUGUAAAUUGAUAGCAUUUCUCAGGAGAAUUGUAUUUAAAAAACAAAACUUAACUAUGAUUGAAAUGUGCCACGGUUACAGAACGGUUGUGUAAAUUUAGAAGAGAGAUUUGUACAUAUUUGUAAAUAUUUAAAACUUUAAAUUCACUUAAACCAACUUAAAGCAAACCAGCUACAAUAAUCUAAAUGCAAGCAAGGGUUGAUAACAAAGAAUGUAGGUCAGGGUUUUUUUAUACCGAUAUAAGGUAAAAUUUGGCAAAAACUGUAACUUCCUGCUGCCCCCAUCAAUGAGGGACAGAACCUGCAGAUGCACAUGUUUUGCUUUGUUAUAUGUACUUAAUUCUGUUAGUUAUGUUUGUCAGUGACAUGCUUUAAUUCUCAGAUUUGUUCAGUCCUGUGUGCUGCUUUUGAUCUGGACUGAACGGCGCAGUGAACAGCUCAUAAAGUUAUUGAUAGCAUACUCUGCAAAAGGGAAGUUCUAGCACAGUCUGAUGGCUAGACUGGCUUUUUAGGUGAAGUUGAGCAUGUCAUUUUACAUGGUUGGACUUUGGUCUUCCCGGUAUGAAAUGAAAUCCAUCUUUGUAAAGCACUAAAAAUCUAAAACUGAAGCAUGUGAUGUGGGUAUUUAUUAAAAUAACUGCCAUAGAAAGGAUACAAAUCAAGACUGCUGUCCAAGUCCACUAUUCUGUGCACACAGAGGUUUUUACUUUUCAUUCUGUCUUUGUAUAAUAGCUAUAGAAUUAGUUCUUCAGUAUAGCUGAAGAAGCUGGUAAAUAAUGCAUUCAGCUAGUGUAUUUCUUAUAUGAAAAAUGCAUCAUGUGGUAUGUUUUGUCCAUUUUGAUUGUGUAAAGCAUUUUUAUGAUGUGUUUUAUAUGGGGUGAUGUUUGUAUUUUUCUUGAAUUGUUACCAUACAGGCUUUAUCAGUGAAUAAACAGAAAUCUUACCUUUUCUUUAUCACUUGGCCAGCAGAGUUUACAGAGUUGGCUUCCCUUUUUUUCCCAGGUUGCUUUGUUUUUUCUACUUUGGUCUGUAAAGUCUCCAUCUGUGAGGAGAUUUAAGACCACAACAUAAGAUAUGAAUGUAAAACUGCUAAUAUUUCAAAGGGGCACUGUUACUUGUCCUUCUCCUAGUCUCUGUUUAGUCUGUAUUUUGUAAAAAUUGCUACUUUAAAAAUGAUUACAUGAAUCCCAAGCAGAGAUGGAGAAGUAAGUACUACAGGUGUUUUACGUAGAUGUGUAUCUGUAUAUAUUUAUAUAUGUGUUUGUAUAAAUAUCUAUAAUAUCAAUUUGCAAGAAUAAAAAUUAACUGUCAUCAGAUAAAGUUCACAUGACCAACAUCUCACAUACAAGUGUGUAGGCAUACAUAUAAAAAUAUGCACGCGUUCAAUACCUGCAGCCCUUCCUGAAGAUCUACAAGCAAUAAUAAGUUCUUUUGAUCAGUGUUUCUCCACUGCUAUCAAAGGCACAAGACAAGCCUAUCCUUUUUAAAAGUUAUACUGCCUUACUGUCCUACAAAAGGGAUUUUUAAAAAUAGCUUAGAAAGGAAUUUUCAGGGCCAGCUCCUCACCAGUUAGGUACUGUCCUUUUUAGCACCCAAACAGUCAGAACAGCAGUCAAGGUCCUCCAGAGCAGAGGUUUUGUGCCACUGACUCGGAUUUGUGCUGCUUCAUGUUUUUUUGUGUGACUGAAGUUCCACUAUAGACCAUUGUUAUAGCCACCCAGGCAGGAAUACGGAGCUCAC